UACGGAGGAUGCAAGCGUUAUCCGGAAUGAUUGGGCGUAAAGCGUCCGCAGGUGGCUAUGUAAGUCUGCUGUUAAAGAGUGAGGCUCAACCUCAUAAGAGCAGUGGAAACUACAUGGCUAGAGUGCGUUCGGGGCAGAGGGAAUUCCGAGUGUAGCAGUGAAAUGUGUAGAUAUUCGGAAGAACACCAGUGGCGAAGGCAGCAACUUGGCCCCAGAUUGACGCUCAGGCACGAAAGCAUGGGGAUCAAACAGG
rnacentral:rRNA from 1 species